UGUAGAAAAAUUUAUAUUUUACUCUUACGUAUUUACUUUCUUAGACAUUUUGUGGGUUUUCAUAUAUUUUUGUUUUUCCUUUUGAUUUAACUUGUGUUUCUCUCUCAGUAUGUAUGUUUGUCACCUGAAAUGCAACGAAGACAUCACACAGUAAAACAAAGAGCCUUUGAAGUCUUUAGUGUGGGCAAUUUACUCAGGAAAGAUCAGAGGGGUUAGCCAUAAAUAAAGACCUUUGACCUCACGGGUGUGAAGAUAAUAAAAGCCCAGGGGAUUAGGAGGACCAUUGUGUUUUCUGAAAGUGUUAGUUUUGGUUUACGGGGUUAAGUGGAAAUUUACAGAGAAGGAGCCCUGUAAGGAGUGGGGGUGAUAACAGUAUAAUAAGGCUGUCUGUUUUCAGUGUGAUUCAGGUCUGUUGUGUUUCAGGGUAGCUGCUGAAACAGUGAACGCACCUCUUUAAGGAAAAUAAACUUCUUUCCUUAAAUAUGAUUUGAUUCCUUGUCUCUUACACUGAGAUGCUAUUUGUUUGUAAUUGUUUUUGCCACAACAAUUUGGUGUCAGAAGUGGGAUCUCACGGUGGUUUCUUCUGGUCCUGAGCGGAUUUGACGAAGUGAUCAUCUCAGAGCACCAGGCUCUGGUCUUACCUCGAAAAUUGAGAGAGAAGAGUCAAAACUGCUUUCAGGGCCAGAAGUGACUCAGAUGAGAUCAGAAAGAACCCGGUGGCAGUAAAAGCAUCUCAGGUAAGAGACUGUAAAUUGUUUAUUUUGAGUGGUGUAAUUUGACAUGACUGUGUGUGAACCAUAGUGGCUGACCAUCGCUUUGGUGCAAGCAAAGAAGGUUUUCAAGAGGCAAAUUGUAACAUGGGGCAGAGAAGGUUUUCAAGAGGCAAAUUGUAACAUGGUGCAGAGGUUUUCAAGAGGCAAAUUGUAAAAUUUUAUGCCGAAAACUAGAAGCUUUAAUCAAUUUUAUGCCGAAAACUAGCUUGUAGGUGGACGGAAGAGCCACAGCUGAUUAGGUGAACUAGAAUCAUUCAAUCGAGUGAAGAUUUUGAGUAAGCUUAAUUUACAGAGCAUUUUUGCUAACCUUGCCGAUUUGAGGUGACAAAAUCGGAUCUGUUGAAGACGUUUAACAGAUUAUAGACGUGCGUCGAAGGAAAUCCAGAAGAGAUUGAAGUCAGCCAACAUGGGAUCACCAAACAGUAAGCUAGCAAAAUUUUAAUAUACACCAGUUUUCGGUCAAAUAGAAAAAGAAUUAUGGGCAUAAGUGUACACAGAAAAGCUGAUAUAUAUCAUGAAUUUCCUAAAGAAGGGACAUUGAGUAAAGUAAGACUGAAUGUUGUGAGAGAGUCAGUAAAAAAAAAAAAAAAAAAAAAAAAAAAAGAAACAGAAUGGUUGUUGUAUGUAUUCGUCACGUGUGUAAAGGAUGUACUCGGACUAUAGGUUGUUGGUUAAAAAUAGGCUGAAAGUCGAGAACGUAAGCAAAUGCAGAAAGAAUUGGCAUGUAUGGGUGAAAUGAAAAAGAUGGAAGAGAAUGUGUGUGAGAAAACAGCUCCACCGCAGCAAAAUGCUACUAAUGAAAAGUGUGUUUGUGUUUUCCAAUAUGCACCCGAGAUCAGGUCAGUACCGCCGGCUUAUAUCCAUCACUACCCUGUGGCAGAGCUGACAGCCCUGAAACUGGACCAUGAUCUCAACUGCUCUCUGUUCCAAAGACCAGCAACAAAUUCAGCAGGAGUUGGAGCGAGAGGAGCGCGAGCAGCGGCAGACACAACAGUGCACAUGACGAAGAAACAGGACUUUUUCGGAAACGCGUCUGAAACUGUUUCCAGCACAACUGAUUCAGAAAGACCAAGCACCAGCAGGCCGAGAGUGAAAAGUGGACAGAUCAGCGUCACAGCUCCGAAAGACACAGCGCCGAAAACAUAAGAGCUCUGAUGGUCAAAGUUGCGGGUCCAGAUGGGCCAAUUUUUUUGUUUGUUUGUUUGUUUGUUUGUUUUGUUUUUAGAGCUUGGACAAUGAUAUGAGAGACCUGAUGGCACAUCUCAUGUUACCAGAUCCGCAGGACGCGAGCGAAAGGUUUGCGAAAGAACAGCUUUUACUGUGCCAAGAGUUCAGCCCGACUUCAGAAGAACUGAGACGGAUGCUGGGUGUGAAAAUGAGUCCAGCAAACUGGCAUAAGGUGAACAGAAAACUGGCGACAACGGACGUGAGAUGUGUGCACACAGACUGGGACCAUGCAAGCAACAAACCAUACAGGAAAGAAGUGGAAAAUUUCACUAAUGCAGUAAGCGCAGAAUUUCCUCCGCGUGUGGACACUGAAAAGAUUAAAGACAAGGAGAUGGUCCAGUUCGAGGAGGUCAGUGACUGACUACGAGAAAGGGAAGUGAACAUUUAUUUCUAACACGCAAAACACGCACAAACACAAACACAUACACUGAUUUACUGUCUGCUAUCUGCAAUGAAGAAUCUGCUUGCAAAUCUUUGUGUGUUUGGAAAAAUGUUGUGAAUGAUGAAAGUUUGAGCAGUGUUUCUGAAGAAUGUUUAAAACUGUACAAAACCACAGGGUUUUCUCAAAUGCCAAGAUACCCAAUAAUAGUAGAGGGAGUAAUAAUUAACUUUUAAGUCGAUUCCGGAGAGUGCCAGAGCACUUUACAACCAUGUGACUUGCCAUGUGUGCCGAAAAUGACAGGAAAAGUGUAUGAAAGCACUUUGGCUUCAGGCCAUUUGAUCCAUCAUCUAAUGGCCAGAGAUUUAAUGUGUGAAUUAAAUUUGACUCUCCGUGCUGAUUCCUAUGGCAUUAGCAUUGAGGAAGCACCACAAAAAACAUGUUCUAAAUUUGAGCCGCAGUGGGCUUACCAAUGGUAGAUAAAAGAAGUUGAUUGGGCAGAGAUGAUUUUGAAAUUGGCUAAAGUUUGAACAACACCAAUCAACACAGAGUUUAUGAAGCCUGAUAAAAUACAUUGCACGUCACAUGUCGUAGUUGAGUGAGACUCAGAGUAUGAAGAAACUUGGUUUAAUGGGGUGGAGAAUGAAAGUGUGAAAUUUGACAAGAUUUUCUGGACAGAGAAUGUGUGUGUGUGUGCUUUCUGUGAGUUUGAAUGAACAACAAUUGCAGUGUUAUUUAAUGACAGAAGAGAGUGUUCCCCACCUAUUUGUGUCGAAUGUCAUAAAGCAGCAGUGGAAAGAUUUAGGGCUUUUUUUGUGAAAAAGUGCCUACAGGCCACAGACUGGGUUGAAGUUGAUAAAGACAUAGCACAGAGCAAAAGUGUUGGAGCAUUUAAAUCAAACUGUGAUUUUUAUGUGCAGGUUUUGAGAACUGUUCUUUUGUGAAGAAUGAUGUGUGUAAAAAAAAAAAAAAAAAAAAAAAAAAAAAAAACUUAGAAGAAAUUGGGGUGGGGGCUAUUUCUGCCUCAGAUGUUUAUAUUUCUUUGGCAGAAAUACCAUCAAAAUUGUGGGCAGAGCGAUGAUUUAUUAAUCUGUGCCAAAGAUAAAACUAUCUGCAUUGCCGACACUGUGACUCUCCUGAAGCAUCUUGAGCAGGGGGACCACAAGGUUAGUCUUUUAAAGCUGCAGUUUGUGAAACAGGAAGUAACCUUCCUUGGACAUGUGAUCAAACCUAAUAGCAAAGCACUGUAUGAGAAAUGGGUACGGGCCAUAAAAGAGGUGUCAAAACCAGUUACAAAGAAAUAGAUGCUGUCAUUUUUUUUGGGGAUGUGUACUUACUGCAGAAUAUUCAUCCCUAAUUAUGCCAUUUUUGAGCAGCUUUUACAAGCCCUAACAACAGGGAAAAGGCUGAGGUCAGGUGACAGACUUGUCUGGACAAGCGAGGCUGAGGAAGCAUAACAUGAAAGUGCAAUUUGCUAUGGCUCCAACGUUAGGCCUUCCUAUCAUAAACUGCCCGCUUGUACAGAUGGUUGAUGAAAAGAAUGGUUUUAUGUCUUCUGUUCUCUUGCAGACUCAUGGUGACAGACUGCGACCUGUGGCCUAUUUUUCAGCGAAACUUGAUGCUGUAGCUGCAGGACUUCCACACUGUCUGAGAGCAGUGGCAGCGGCCAAGCUGGCUGUGAUGGCCUCGAGAGAAUUUGUAGGCUACUCUGAUUUGACUUUAAUGGUUCCACACGCAGUAUCCAUGAUUUUGCAAGAAUAGAGAACGUCACAUUUGUCUACAGCCCGAUGGCUGAGGUAUCAUACGAUUUUGUUGGACAUGCCAAACAUAACUGUAAAACGAUGCACAACUUUGAAUCCUGCCACCCUUCUGCCCACACAGGAGGAUGGUGAAGAACAUCACUGUUGUCUGUCAGCACUCUAACAGGUGUGCACACCACGUCCAGACCUUUAAGACAUACCGCUUGAUAAUUGUGACAAUGUCCUUUUUGUGGAUGGGUCUGCCUCGAAAGAUCCACAAACGGCAGAAUAAAGUGGGUUAUGCUGUAACGACUGAAUUUGAAACUCUGAAAUCUGACAAAUUACCAUCACACUAUUCUGCGCAGGCAGCAGAACUGGUUGCAUUGACCGAAGUGUGUAAACUGACAGCAGAUAAAUGCGUGACGAUAUACACAGACUAGCGAUACACUUUUGGGGUCACGCAUGACUUUAGUGCUUUGUGGGAGCACAGAAAAUUAUUGAAAUUGGAAGGGAGGCCGAUACUAAACGCGUCUCUGGUAUCGGACCUGCCCGAGGCUAUUCUAUUGCCAGACAAAAUUGCGAUUUUUAAGUGCGCAGCGCAUACUAAUGAUAAAUGUUUCACCUCAACAGGAAAUGCUAGAGCUGAUAUGGCUGAGGAUCAGAAUGAAGAUAAUAGUAAAAGAGCCACUUGCGCACAAGUUGACAUUAAUCUUUACAUUUCUCCUUGUUUACAGAGCAUGCAGUCUUUUUCCACAGGAGCUGAGAAAAAACAACUGGAAGGCAUCAGGCUGUUUAUAGCGUGUGGAGAUCCGUUGUUGGAACGCCCUGUUUUCCCAAACAUUUUUUUUUUUAAACAUUAUGCUAAGUUGACACAUGGGUUAGACCAUGUAUCAAAAGGGGGAAUGAUUGCACAGAUGAAAGAAUUGUGGUUUACUAAGGGCUUUCUCAAUAUUCGCUGAUAC